rnacentral:tRNA from 1 species
UCUAAUAUGGCAGAUUAGUGCAAUAAAUUUAAGCUUUAUAUAUGUAAAUUUGUUUUACUAUUAGAA